rnacentral:rRNA from 1 species
CCUAGGAAUCUGCCUAUUAGUGGGGGACAACGUUUCGAAAGGAACGCUAAUACCGCAUACGUCCUACGGGAGAAAGCAGGGGACCUUCGGGCCUUGCGCUAAUAGAUGAGCCUAGGUCGGAUUAGCUUGUUGGUGAGGUAAUGGCUCACCAAGGCGACGAUCCGUAACUGGUCUGAGAGGAUGAUCAGUCACACUGGAACUGAGACACGGUCCAGACUCCUACGGGAGGCAGCAGUGGGGAAUAUUGGACAAUGG